CCACUAUGCUUAGCCCUUAACAUAGACAGCACGCACACAAUGCUGUCCGCCUGAGAACUACAAGUGAAAAACUAGAAACUCAAAGGACUUGGCGGUGUCCCACACCGACCUAGAGGAGCCUGUCCUAUAAUCGAUAAUCCACGUUACACCUCACCACCCCUUGCAAUUCAACCUAUAUACCGCCGUCGCCAGCCUACCUUAUGAAAGAACUAAAGUAAGCUAAGUAGUUAAUUACUAGUACGUCAGGUCAAGGUGUAGUAUAUGGGGUGGAAGAGAUGGGCUACACUUUCUAUUUCAGAAUAUACGAAUAGCACAGUGAAACCUCUGCUUAAAGGCGGAUUUAGUAGUAAGAUUAACAAGAAACUUUAUCUGAAACCCGCUCUGGGACGCGCACACACCGCCCGUCACCCUC
rnacentral:rRNA from 1 species